rnacentral:rRNA from 1 species
AUUGAACGCUGGCGGCAGGCUUAACACAUGCAAGUCGAGCGGUAACAGAUCUAGCUUGCUAGAUGCUGACGAGCGGCGGACGGGUGAGUAAUGCAUAGGAAUCUGCCCAGUAGUGGGGGAUAGCCCGGGGAAACCCGGAUUAAUACCGCAUACGCCCUACGGACCAAAGCAGGGGAUCUUCGGACCUUGCACCUAGAGAUAGGCCCAAGUGAGAUUAGCUAGUUGGUGGGGUAAGAGCCUACCAAGGCGACGAUCUCUAGCUGUUCUGAGAGGAUGAUCAGCCACACUGGGACUGAGACACGGCCCAGACUCCUACGGGAGGCAGCAGUGGGGAAUAUUGCACAAUGGGGGAAACCCUGAUGCAGCCAUGCCGCGUGUGUGAAGAAGGCCUUCGGGUUGUAAAGCACUUUCAGUGGUGAGGAAGGAUGUAAGAUUAAUACUCUUGCAUAUUGACGUUAGCCACAGAAGAAGCACCGGCUAACUCCGUG